GCAGGGCUCCUUGAGAAGUAGGGAUGAUUGAGGAUGCAGUCCUAUACACACUUGCUUCUAUGCUUCCUGCAGGCAUCUGGCUGACCAUCCGCUGAGCUUCUGUCAAAGAGGAGCUACCUGCAAAGCUUACAUCCCUUUCUAACAACAGCCUCGGUGUUGCCAGUCUUGGGACUGCUGUACAGAAUUCUGCAGACGAAUGGCUGGAGGUACCCUGAGCAUGAGCAAGAAAAAUAGAAGCCUCUUUCACAGGGGAAGAAAACUUUAGAGAACUUGGAGGACAGGGUUUGGCAUAGCACUGAUGGUAAAUGAAUGAAAGCAAGGUAAGGUUUUGUGUUUCCAGACAAGACAUGAUGUCUCACACAA